rnacentral:rRNA from 1 species
GAUGAACGCUGGCGGCGUGCCUAAUACAUGCAAGUCGAGCGAACAGACGAGGAGCUUGCUCCUCUGACGUUAGCGGCGGAAGGGUGAGUAACACGUGGAUAACCUACCUAUAAGACUGGGAUAACUUCGGGAAACCGGAGCUAAUACCGGAUAAUAUAUUGAACCGCAUGGUUCAAUAGUGAAAGACGGUUUUGCUGUCACUUAUAGAUGGAUCCGCGCCGCAUUAGCUAGUUGGUAAGGUAACGGCUUACCAAGGCAACGAUGCGUAGCCGACCUGAGAGGGUGAUCGGCCACACUGGAACUGAGACACGGUCCAGACUCCUACGGGAGGCAGCAGUAGGGAAUCUUCCGCAAUGGGCGAAAGCCUGACGGAGCAACGCCGCGUGAGUGAUGAAGGUCUUCGGAUUGUAAAACUCUGUUAUUAGGGAAGAACAAAUGUGUAAGUAACUAUGCACGUCUUGACGGUACCUAAUCAGAAAGCCACGGCUAACUACGUG